GUGAACUCUAGCCCCAUACACACCAUACACAUUCACACACUGCCCCCACACACACCAUACACAUUCACACACUGCCCCCACACACACAAUACACAUUCACACACUGCCCCCCCCCACACACACACACACUGAACCUUUCAUACACAUUGCACCCCUCACACAUUGCACCACUGCUCCUAUACCCUACUACAGCCCCAUAUCCCAGCAGACUCCAGGUAAGUUGUCAAACUGUUCUUAGACGGUUUGGCUACUUACUCUGG